rnacentral:rRNA from 1 species
CCUACGGGAGGCUGCAGUAGGGAAUUUUCCACAAUGGACGAAAGUAUGAUGGAGCAACGCCGCGUGCAGGAUGAAUGCCUUCGGGUUGUAAACUGCUUUUAUUUGUGACGCGGUAGCAAAUGAAUAAGGAUCGGCUAACUCCGUGCCAGCAGCCGCGGUCAUACGGAGGAUCCAAGCGUUAUCCGGAAUUACUGGGCGUAAAGAGUGCGUAGGUGGCAUUGUAAGUCGGUAGUGAAAGCGUGGGGCUCAACCCCAUAAACGUUAUCGAAACUGCAAGGCUAGAGGAUGAGAGAGGUUAUUGGAAUUCCCAGUGUAGGAGUGAAAUCCGUAGAUAUUGGGAGGAACACCGAUGGCGUAGGCAGAUAACUGGCUAAUCCUGACACUAAGGCACGAAAGCGUGGGGAGCAAACGGGAUUAGAUACCCCUGUAGUC